GCCGGGUGGAUAAGUCUCUAGGUAAAUCUUGCGUCCAAGCGUAAGGCUUCUGGAGAUACUGUCUAUCUUGAGGCCGGGAGAGGUUGGAGGUACUCCCGGGGUAGGGUAAAAUCCUGUAAUCCUGGGGGGACCACCGGUGGCGAAGGCGUCCAACUGGAACGGGCCUGACGGUGAGGGACGAAACCCAGGGGAGCGAGCCGGAUUAGAUACCCGGGUAGUCCUGGGCGUAAAUGAUGCGGACUAGGUGUGGGGGUAUCCACGAGAUACCUCUGUGCCGAAGGGAAGCCAGUAAGUCCGCCGCCUGGGGAGUACGGCCGCGAGGCUGAAACUUAAAGGAAUUGGCGGGGGAGCACCACAAGGGGUGGAGGCUGCGGUUUAAUUGGAUUCAACGCCGGAAAACUCACCGGGGGCGACGGCAGAAUGACGGCCAAGCUGAUGACUUUGCUUGACGAGCCGAGAGGAGGUGCAUGGCCGCCGUCAGUUCGUACCGUGAGGUGUCCUCUUAAGUGAGGUAACGAACGAGACCCCCGCCCUCAGUUACCAGCAAAUUCCUAUGGAAUGAUGGGGACUCUGAGGGGACCGCUGCUGCUAAAGCAGAGGAAGGAGGGGGCAACGGUAGGUCAGUAUGCCCCGAAUCCCCCGGGCUACACGCGGCCUACAAUGGUUACGACAAUGGGUUCCAACACCGAAAGGUGAAGGUAAUCCCCUAAACGUAAUCUCAGUCCGGAUUGUGGGCUGUAACUCGCCCUCAUGAAGCUGGAAU
rnacentral:rRNA from 1 species